AUUGAACGCUGGCGGCAGGCCUAACACAUGCAAGUCGAGCGAGCGGCGGACGGGUGCGUAAUGCCUGGGAAUUGCCCAGUAGAGGGGGAUAACAGUUGGAAACGACUGCUAAUACCGCAUAGGAUUUGCUUGUCCAGGUGGGAUUAGCUAGUUGGUGAGGUAAUGGCUCACCAAGGCGACGAUCCCUAGCUGGUCUGAGAGGAUGAUCAGCCACACUGGAACUGAGACACGGUCCAGACUCCUACGGGAGGCAGAAGUGGGGAAGAUUGCACAAUGGGCGAAAGCCUGAUGCAGCCAUGCCGCGUGUGUGAAGAAGGCCUUCGGGUUGUAAAGCACUUUCAGCGAGGAGGCGUUACUCGCAGAAGAAGCACCGGCUAACUCCGUGCCAGCAGCCGCGGUAAUUC
rnacentral:rRNA from 1 species